rnacentral:rRNA from 1 species
GACAAACGCUGGCGGCGUGCCUAAUACAUGCCAGUCGAACGCUGAAGGAGGAGCUUGCUUCUCUGGAUGAGUUGCGAACGGGUGAGUAACGCGUAGGUAACCUGCCUGGUAGCGGGGGAUAACUAUUGGAAACGAUAGCUAAUACCGCAUAAGAGUAGAUGUUGCAUGACAGUUGCUUGAAAGGUGCAAUUGCAUCACUACCAGAUGGACCUGCGUUGUAUUAGCUAGUUGGUGAGGUAACGGCUCACUAAGGCAACGAUACAUAGACGACCUGAGAGGGGGAUCGCCGACACGGGAACGUGGACACGGCCCUGACUCCUAAGGGAGGCACCAGAAGGGAACCUGCGGCAAUGGUGGGAAGUCUGACCGAGUAACGCCGCGUGUGUGGAAACGGUGUCCGGAUCGGAAAGCCCGGUUGUAAGUGAAAAACGAGUGUGAGAUUGGAAAGAGCGCACUGGGAGGUGAUCGGACCAGAAGGGGACGGCUAACUACUG